GCAGGCAUUUAUAGCAUUGCAAUGUAGUUGUUCUACCUUCAGGGUAGAAUCAAUGUAGGGCAGUUUUAACUCUGCUGUGCUUGUU